AUGGGUCAAGUGCAGACAGCCGUAGUGUAUAGACAGACGGACAGGCAGUCAGGCCCACUGGUGUGAAAUGCUAGAGCGUUACUGCCUGGGGACCCAACAGGCUGUGGGCCAAAUUGGGAAGAGGAGUAUCCUGGCUCACUUGUGUUUCUUCCCUGUGGUUGGCAUUUCUGGCUGCUCGGUCUUUGCUUUCGUCGCUCAAGAGCAUGAAACCCUGGCUCCCACCUCGUUCGUCUUCACCCCACAUUCCUUAGGAUUGGAAAGACACGGACCCUCCCGCAGACUCACUGCUAUGGUUGUUACAGUGAUAACUGACUUAUCAGCGAGCGUGUGGAUAAUGUGGAACUCAAGAAACCAGAAGUACCGUGGCCCCAGUUUGUGGAAAUGUCCAGCUGGAACAGCAUGGUGCAGACAGACUUCCAGAAGCCACAGAGGACAGAUACACUCCCAGGAGACCUGAAGGACCCUAACAGAGUGCCUGAAGGCCAACAUCUCUCAACCAUAAGCCCCAAUCCAACCAUCAGAGGAACACAUCUGCUAGAAGGAGCACCGACCACCAGACGCUUUCUUUCUACCACACAAGAAAUGGCUUUUUCACUCAACAAAACAAUCUGGGACGGAGUUUCUACCGUUAACUGCGUCAUGCGACCCUGUCAUUGUUUCCACGUCUUAUCCCACCAAACCACUCAGGCCCCUCAAGGGCGCCGACUGUGGACUUGGUCCCUGUGUCCCUGGGUGUCCGCCCUCCCACCAACCCUGGAACGUGGAAAACCAGCCACACGCUCGGUCAGUGGGUAAACUUAAGUUGAAAACAAAGUAAGCUUAAAAUCUCUUUAAAAGAAAAAGUUGAAAACGUUUUGAGGUUUGUCUCAAAUGUGCAGAUCAGAAGCCAUCUCACGUCUGAGAACCUUCCUGUUCCGUCCUUUGUUUCCACUGGUUUAAGGCAAAGGAUGUGGAGAGUCCCUGUCUCUUGCCUUGAAUUUAUCUAUUUCAUUUCUAAUUAGAAUAUAGAGACUCACAAAGAUUGACAUUUCUCAGAAAUUCAAAGUAAGAACGUGUUUCAGAGGUCGCCCGGGCUCACUCCCAGCUGGGUCCCUGGGUAACACUUGAAUAAUUUCUACAAAAUAUGAAUCAGCCCCAGCUAUGGGCCUCUCUUCACACGCUUCUAUGCACCUCAUUUGGCAUUCAGGAAAAUUUGAAAUGAUUAGAAAGUUCUUAGCCAUCUUCAACCAGUUAUUUUGAUCUUUUUAACUCUUCCAGCGACUUAGAUACAGGCAUGAUCUUCAAGAUUUUUACUGAAGGCAUUUUCUUUUCUUUCUGGGUGAUUUGGGCAAGAACCUUUCACUUCCAACUUCUAUAUGCUGCACCCUCGGCGUUUGAAGCUCUCCAAACCUUAGUCAAGGCACGAAGCACAGACUUACCACCUCGUGUGGAAACGCGGGAGAUUCAACACAAGAGAACUGAGAUGUCAGAGAUGCAAGGUGGCCUUUUUGUAGGAGCUGGACCUCCAGAUGGCAUCGGAAUGUUGGAGCUUCAGUACUCUUACGAGGCACGGAGACUGAAAAGAAAGAUUUGAUUUUAAAUCCUGAAUACCCUGGCUUCCGACAGCCUUCCAAGUCUCGAUAAAGGAAUCGCCUGAGCAAGCAGGAGACAGAGAUGGGUGUUGGAGUGUCUUUCUCGGCAGACCACAGGCUGUGUCUGAACAAAUGCUCUGAUUUCAUGUAAACAAGUGGUUUAAUGGGCUUUAUGUUACUUUGUAUCACAAAUAGAAAGAAAUUCAGAGGGCAAAGAGGCACAAGAUAGCCUGUUAAAGACACUGUGUAAAUCAAUAUUCCCAUGAGACACCACUGAGUGCUUUUGAAUCAACAGCCAACGUGGACAGAAGGCCAAGAACUGUCGUCUGGUGGCUUCUAGGAGGAGUAGAAUCCUGAGAACCUCUGCCCCCUGCCCCUCAGCGUCUGAGGCACCGAGGACAACACUGGAAGGAAAGGGCUUCCCUCACGUGGAGAAGAGUCACAGCAAGCUCCAGCGGGCCUCAGGCCCCCUAAAGUCCCUCCAGCAACGACACAAGGUCAUUAGCCCACAUCCACGCAUCCUGCGCCUCAGAUUGAAGGGUCCUCCCACGGGGGCGGACACAGCUGUGGGCUGGCCCGAUGCUACCUAACACCGUGCUAUGGGGUAGAUGAAAAUAUUCGUGAGCCAUGGAUGGCAUAAACAUCUAAAGUUCAGUGUGUGGUAAGAACCCUUGCAAGCCAACAGUAAAAAGACAAGGGAAACCAUGCUCCCCAUCACUCUCAUUAGCAAAAUGGAAAUCAAAAUCACAAGAAGAUCCCACUUCACGUGCACUAGGACGGCUGUAUUAAAAAAGACAGGAAAUAAAUAACAAGCGUUGGCAAGGUUGCAGAGACGUUUUACCCCCGUGCGUUCCCAGUGGGGACAUAAAAUGGUCAGCCACUGGUGAAAACAGUUUGGGGUUCCUCACCACGUGACACAUAGGGUUACCACAUGACAUAGCCAGUCCUGUCCCAGCUACGUGUCCAAGGGAAUGGAAAACAUAUGUGCACACAAAAACUUGUACCUGAAUGUUCAUGGAAGCAUUAUCCGGAGUAUCCAAAGAGCAGGGGAAAAUCCGAAUGCCUGGCAACUGAUAAAUGGGUAAGCAAAAUGUGGUCUGUCCAGACAAUGGCGUCGGACUCAGCCCAAACAAGGAAGGAGCUGGGAGACUGCUGCAACAUGAUGUACCUCAGAAACCCUAUGCGGAGUGAAAAAAACCCCAAAAAACCCACCACAUGGAAGGUCACAUAUUGUAUGAUUGCAUUUGUAUGAGAUGCCCAGAAAGAGCCGACCUGUGGAGACAGAAGGUGGAUGAGUGAUUGCCAAGGAUGGAGAGAGGGGUAAUGGAAUAACUGACACCUGACAGGUGUGGACUCACUGUUUGUGAUGGUGGGAAAUUCUGGGUGUAGACAGCGGCGAGGGUGCACAGUGCUGUGGGCGCUAAAAACCCCUGAAUGACGAACUGUGUCUAUGUGUAGAUGCGGUUACGUGAAUUAUUUAUAAAAGAAAAAAUAGCAAAAAUAAAAGAAAGCAGGUAAGACGGGUAUGAGAUACUCUAUUGAAGCUCCUACAAAGUUUUCCUAAAAAGAAAUAUCAAGGUUUUACUCUAUAAACUACAUGGUGGAUAUUUGUACUUUGUGCUGAGAAUUUAAAUGUACUUAAUCACAUUGUUAGAUUUAAGACGAAAAUAAAUACGUAUUUUCCCAUAGAUGUGUCCUUGCAAAAAUAAACACAACGUAAUUUAAA